rnacentral:lncRNA from 1 species
CCAGUACCACCAGAAUGGGUGCCACAGCCCCCUACUGGUCCCAGGACCACCAGUACUGGUGCCGGAGCCCCCGUACUGGUCCCAGUACCACCAGUACAGGUGCUGGGUCCCCCAUAAUGGUCCCAGUACAACCAGUAAUGGUGCCGGAACCCCCUGUACUGGUUCCAGUACCACCAGUACGGGUGCCGGGGCCCCCGUACUGGUCCCAGUACCACCAGUACAGGUGCCGGAGCUCCCGUACUGGUCCCAGUACGGGCAGUAGAGGUGCCGGAGCUCCCGUACUGGUCCCAGUAUGGGCAGUACAGGUGCCGGAGCUCCCGUGCUGGUCCCAGUACAGGCAGUAUUGGUGCCGGGACCCCUGUACUUGUCCCAGUACAGGCAGUACAGGGGCCGGAGCUCCCGUACUGGUCCCAGUACCGGCAGUACAGGGGCCGGAGCUCCCGUACUGGUCCCAGUACCACCAGUGCAGGGGCCGGAGCCCCCGUACUGGUCCCAGUAUGGGCAGUACUAGCACUGGUGCUCCCGUACUGGUCCCAGUACCACCAGUGCAGGUGCCAGAGUCCCCGCACUGGUCCCAGUACGGGCAGUACUAGCGCCGGAGCCCCCAUACUGGUCCCAGUACAGCCAGUACUGGUGCCACAGCCCCUCUACUGGUCUGUACUGGUCCAGUACCAGCAGCCUAUAGCCCCAGUACAUCCAGUUUAGUAUCUCCAGUUCCAGAGCCCUCAUACUGGUCCAUACUGGGCCAGUCCCAGCAACCAGUGCAUUUAAACUCAUCCAAUUACAACAAUCAAUUAGUGCAAUUAGUCCCUAGCAGCCUCUAAUUAACCUAGCUCAUUAAGUCCCCACACCAUCCUCGUUAAGCGCGAAGCGCUAAUUUCUUUGAAAAAGUCCGAAUUGGGGCAAAAGCCAAAUAAAUGUGGUUUGAGGACUGGGUUCA